CCUGAUCCGACAAGAUGGAAUGCCAUACUUCGGCUUGUGAGGACUCCUCCCGCUGAUAAAGUUUGGUCCUUCGAUCAUCCGGUCGUGCUUCCCUGUUGUUGAAGUGUUAUCCUCUUCAGCACUAAGUUGUCUACUUAUUGGACAUUAUCGCUGUUUCUUGGUUUUGACAUGAUUUUCUACGGUCGCAUCUUCAGAAAGAGGGAAAUGGAAG